AUCUUAUUUUUUUUAACGUUUUGGUUUGUCAGACCAUUUCUUAGAAGGUCAAGAUGGCCAGGCACUCAGGUUUCCUGUUGCUACUUCAGAUGAGGGAUCCUAGAGGGAGUUCAUGCUGCAGCUCAUCAUCCUUUUUGGGGAGACCGCCAGCGCAACACACUCCAGCCUUGGUGCCUCAGGAAGCCACGUCACUCAUUCAUUCUCCCCUCCUACUUUCCCCACCUCCACACAUUGUGGUUGUGGUUGAGUGUUUUAUUUGGUGUUCAGUAUCUGAGUGGAAGAGGUAAGGAGCCUCUCUGAUCAGUGAGAUUAAUUUGGUAACGUAUACUGUACAGCAAAUUUAGAAAGCAGGGAAACCACACUGAAAAUCGGCUACUCAAGGGUGCAGAGAUCCAGUGGAAGGAUGGGAAACUGUCAGCCAAAAAUAAGGUGGAAGAUGAGCAUUCCUGUGUGGAGGAAGAGAUACUCUGACAAGGGAACACAGACCGAGAGUCACCCGCCGAGCCCUGCCCAGGAACACAGUGACCAAAAAGGCUCUAUGAAUACCAGUGGAAUGUGGUAUUCUACUGUCAGCUACAAUGUCAAACCUGAAUCCUAUGCAGCUAACAUGGAAACUCAGACAGAAUACGCAACUGUCAACAUACCUAAGAGCAAGCAAUAUACCACCUACUCUGAAGACCAGAAUGCAUACGAUUAUGUCCUGAUCCAUUAGAAAGGAAGCCUUUCUGCUCUGAUGGCAUUCCUGGGAGCUACGUGAAUAUUUAAGCUGGCAGCAUGCAGCCUUCCUAAUCCCAUCUGUUGUGCUGACUCUUCAAACAAGCUGGAGAGCAUCUCUGUUAUGUUAUAAAAGCUUAUGUAUUCUAGUCAGUCCCGAUGAGACAAAUCUGAAAAAGCAAUCACCAAAAGAAGCAUGGAGAGGAUACAGGACUUAACAAUUAAAACAAGAGGAAUCAGCAGUAGCUACCAUUGCAAAGCAAUGUUUAUGUUUCUCUAUAGAAAAUGGAGUGCUUUUUGCUAGAAGCAAUUGAGACUUGAUGAUUUUUCCAGAUUUUCAGGAUUUUUACAGUGCCUUUUUUUUAAGGGAUGUAAUAGAAUUUAUUAUAGAAAUAUCAAAAAUUCAAUAAUAAUAACCGCCUCCUUUUAAAAAAAAAUAAUAAUAAACUUUGUUCUAGGUGAUCUUGCUCUUCCAGAGUUUCUCUGGCCUGCUUCAUAUAUAUCACUAUACACACAAAGAUACAACCCGGAUAAAGGCAUCAUUUCUCUAGUUGUUCUCCUCAGCAACCCUUAAUGCAAUAUUACUUGUCACAGAGUGAAGUCUUAACAAAGCUGGAUAGAAUGAAGAACGCAACAAACUGCACACAAUAAAUAAACAAAUAAAAAGUGUAGGCACUUCAAGCCACUGCCACCUGGAAGACCAUGAAACCACUGAAGAUCCCAAAGUUGCACAGGCAGCAACUGCACACCUCUCAGCAAGGGAUUCCCUGGUGCUGCAUCUGGCACAUAACUCUUUCAGCUCUCUUCUACUGGACUCUCAGUUUUGGCUCCCUGCAGUGGCAGAGCACAACUUCUUCAUAGUCCAUCGACCUACUGCACGAAGCAUUUCUGAUCACACAUGUCCAGGUUGAAACUGGUUAUUCAUCUGCUAACCAGAGAUCAUAAAGUGAUUCUGUGCUAAUGUUCUUGCUACCGCAUGUAUUUUUUUUUCCUCUGUUUUUGUAUUAAAACAUUUUGAAAAAAAGUGUUGUGCAAUUUUUCUGAUAUAAAAUCUUUCUUGGUAUCCAAAUUACUUAACUUGAUGAAAUGUUUUCACACUAUUCUGAUCCUAAUGGAUAAGGUAUUUAUUAUGUCACUGGUUAUUUUCUUUUGUAUUAUCAAUUUACCUCUAAGAGGUAACCAGAUAUGACUGCCUUUUUUUGGCAUUUCCUUCAAUUAGAGUUCAAAGUACAUCUGGAGACAUGCUGUAAAGCUGGAUACUUUCUGUUGAAUUAUGGAAUCAUAGAAUGGUCUGGGUUGAAAAGGACCACAGUGAUCAUCUAGUUUCAACCCCCUGCUAUGUGCAGGGUCGCCAACCAGCAGACCAGGCUGCCCAGAGCCACAUCCAGCCUGGCCUUGAAUGCCUCUAGGGAUGGGGCAUCCAUAACCUCCUUGGGCAACCUGUUCCAGUGUGUCAACACCCUCUGUGGGAAAAACUUCUUCCAAAUAUCUAAACUAAACCUACCCGUCUCAGUUUAAAACCAUUCCCCCUUGUUCUAUCACUAUCCACCCUCAUAAACAGCCAUUCCCCCUCCUGUUUAUAUGCUCCCUUCAAGUACUGGAAGGCCACAAUGAGGUCCCCCAGAACCUACUCCUUUCCAAACUAAACAAGCCCAGUUCCCUCAACCUUUCUUCAUAGGAGAGGUGCUCCAGCUCUCUGAUCAUCUUAGCAGUCCUACAUCUUGCUACAACUUCACUGCAUUCUUCCCUGUGAAUUGCAUGGGUAAAAAAUCUGGAGCAGAGAACAGCAGGGAAAAAAUGAAUACUUUGCAGCUUCUUGUUUCUCCUCAUUAAUUCUUAAUGCACAUGGAAGUGUCUUCGUAAAGAAGUGAUUAUUAUUUUUUUGUUCUUUGAAACAGAAUCAAGAUAAAGAAGUGUUGGCACAUUCAGUCACCUUAAGCAGUAAGAGCAAUAAUAUCAAGCAGCAUCUCAAAGGCAAACUAUUUUCUUGCCAUUGUCAUUUCCAUAAGCUUCUGCUUUUGGGAUAAACUAUGCAAACUAUGAAUUUUGUCCUUCCCCAGAAUAAGAGUAUCUCUUUUAAUUGUAUGCUGCAUACUAUGUUAAUGCACAACAUUUGUGUAUCUGUAUAUCUUUUUGUUGUUGCUGCUGUUUUUUAGAUACAUGUAUAGAAAUAAUAGCCCUAAAUAUACAAUCAUACCAUUUCAUCAAAUGAGGCAAGAAAAGAGAAAUUACGGUACUUAUAGCCAGUGCUACAUUUUACAAAUCGGGAUGGGGACAGAAUUAAUCAUAGAUGUGAGCUUAGUGACAUCCUGAUUUGCUCUACACCAUUCCCCA